rnacentral:rRNA from 1 species
UCUGUGAUGCCCUUAGAUGUUCUGGGCCGCACGCGCGUUACACUGACGGAGCCAGCGAGUACUUCCUUGGCAGAGAUGCCCGGGUAAUCUUGUURAACUCCGUCGUGCUGGGGAUAGAGCCUUGCAAUUAUUGCUCUUCAACGAGGAAUCCCUAGUAAGCGCAAGUCAUCAGCUGCGUUGAUUACCUCCCUGCCCUUCANAAACACCGCA